AUGGCGAGACGUCGAACAAGAGCAGCAACCUCGUCGACAUUCACGUCCCCGGCGAGAAGCGCGAGUACACCAAAACGCUCAAAGGGGUUGGGCUCCACGGCAAGGAGACACAGGAGAUCGUACUGCACCAGCGUACCAGACAAGGCCGACGAGGUGAUGAGCAGGCUCAGGAUGAAGGGCGGCGGCUUGUAUCUGAGCUUCAUCAGAGUUGAUGUGGAGCCCAAGCGCCUCAAAGAUUUCCUGUAG
rnacentral:rRNA from 1 species